GGCCGGCCGCCGGCGAUUGCUUUCAGCCUGGUCCUGGCCCGGCGUAGCCGGGGCUCGGCAGUUCCAGCUCAGAGUGAAGUCAGCCCGGUGAGCGUCAGGGCUGCUUGGAAGCAAGAUGAAGAGGGGUGAAAGAAAGGGUUUAAGCUUCUAAGGUAGCCGGAACUUAACGCAGAGCCGUCACUAGUCUGUUACGAUUGUUCAGGCGGAUUGCUUCUGUUUCGUUAUUCACAUCACUUGGGAACCUCCUCUUUCGUGUCUGUCCUAUCGGCAUUUAAAAGAGAAUGUUCCACCUUCUCUGCUCCUACUUUCCCGCACCUCGUACUUAAUAGAUUUAAAGCCACAGCCUGUACCAGAAAAUAAGAUAGGUGAAGCUAAGGAAGUGAUGACAUCCCUCCCUGAGCAUCAAGAAACCCUGGUGGAUCCUGCCCCCGCUGUACAGGGAAGAAAGAAUGAAGAAUUUAUAUCUCAGCCAACAGAGAAAUUGCCGGUGUCAGAAGUGCCAGUUAAGCCUCCCCCACGAGAGACUAAACUGGAAGCAUCUCAGAGCAGCAAGGCUGGUGCCAACGGAGUCUAGCCUGAAGCCAGCAAGGACAAUCUACCGCUGGAAGAGAAAAGCUUUCAUCUCUCCACCUCCUUAAAAGGGAAGAAUGAUUUUCCAGCUGGCUGCUUUUACACAGAAACGUGUCAGUAGUCCUAAGGGGCUCUCUCCCUCUCUUCCAAGCUUAUUAGCAGUCAGGCAGUGCUAAGACUCUCCAGAUGACACCAGCUUCUCAUUUGUACUCCAUUCCCUCUACCCCCCCAGCAUUUUAACUUAUGUUGUAAAUAUGUUGAUACUUGCA